rnacentral:rRNA from 1 species
UACGUAGGUGGCGAGCGUUUGUCCGGAUUUACUGGGCGUAAAGAGCGCGCAGGCGGUCGUACAAGUCGCGUGUGAAAGCCCCUGGCUCAACUGGGGAGGGUCACGCGAUACUGUUCGACUCGAAGGCAGGAGAGGGAAGUGGAAUUCCCGGUGUAGUGGUGAAAUGCGUAGAUAUCGGGAGGAACACCAGUGGCGAAGGCGACUUCCUGGCCUGUUCUUGACGCUGAGGCGCGAAAGCUAGGGUAGCAAACGGG